UACGUAGGUGGCAAGCGUUGUCCGGAUUUAUUGGGCGUAAAGCGAGCGCAGGCGGUUUCUUAAGUCUGAUGUGAAAGCCCCCGGCUCAACCGGGGAGGGUCAUUGGAAACUGGACGACUUGAGUGCAGAAGAGGGGAGUGGAAUUCCAUGUGUAGCGGUGAAAUGCGUAGAGAUAUGGAGGAACACCAGUGGCGAAGGCAGCUUCCUGGUCUGUAACUGACACUGAUGCGCGAAAGCGUGGGGAGCAAACAGG
rnacentral:rRNA from 1 species